AACGUAGGAUGCAAGCGUUAUCCGGAUUUACUGGGCGUAAAGCGCGUGUAGGCGGUUCGGUAAGUUGGAUGUGAAAGCUCCUGGCUUAACUGGGAGAGGUCGUUCAAUACUGCCGAGCUAGAGGAUGGUAGAGGGAGGUGGAAUUCCGAGUGUAGUGGUGAAAUGCGUAGAUAUUCGGAGGAACACCAGUGGCGAAAGCGGCCUCCUGGACCAUUUCUGACGCUCAGACGCGAAAGCUAGGGUAGCAAACGGG
rnacentral:rRNA from 1 species